AGUGAACGCUGGCGGUAGGCCUAACACAUGCAAGUCGAACGGCAGCACAGUAAGAGCUUGCUCUUACGGGUGGCGAGUGGCGGACGGGUGAGGAAUACAUCGGAAUCUACUUUUUCGUGGGGGAUAACGUAGGGAAACUUACGCUAAUACCGCAUACGACCUACGGGUGAAAGCAGGGGAUCUUCGGACCUUGCGCGAUUGAAUGAGCCGAUGUCGGAUUAGCUAGUUGGCGGGGUAAAGGCCCACCAAGGCGACGAUCCGUAGCUGGUCUGAGAGGAUGAUCAGCCACACUGGAACUGAGACACGGUCCAGACUCCUACGGGAGGCAGCAGUGGGGAAUAUUGGACAAUGGGCGCAAGCCUGAUCCAGCCAUACCGCGUGGGUGAAGAAGGCCUGCGGGUUGUAAAGCCCUUUUGUUGGGAAAGAAAAGCAGCAGGUUAAUACCCCGCUGUUCGGACGGUACCCAAAGAAGAAGCACCGGCUAACUGCGU
rnacentral:rRNA from 1 species